UUCCAACCUAUCAAGCUUUGAUGCAAACAACUUUUCCUAUUUGUGUCAAAAGGAUGAAUGGUGUCCUGUAAGCAGCAUGCAAAAAUUUCCAAAAGGCUGGAUUAUUGAAUAGUAUCUUGGAGUUUUAGUGAGAGAUCACACAAGUGACUUUCCAAACUUACUCCCUGUGCUUCUGCACUAUCCAAGUAUAUGACAAAAUGUGGAGUAGGCUUUUCAAAGGCAUUCAGCACCCCCCUCCUCCCCAUUUUAAGAGCUGUGCUAGCUUGAAAUCAGUAUAGAGCCAGGUGUCUAAUUUAGGCAAUCCCCAAUGUUUCAUAAUUGCCAUAACUAGUUAGUUAGGACGCAGUGAAAGAUCUCAGGGAAGUUCUGUUGACUUAAAAAGGAACAGGACUCAGUUCAGCUUUUGAUCUAAAUGGUUUGACACAAUCAAGCAAGCAUCUGUCAGCUGCCUGGUAAUAACUUGCUGUUGGUGUAUUCUGACCCUGUGCCGGUCCUCCAUAAAUGGAAAUUAAUUAGAUUUGAUAUUUUUCUCUGUAACUCGUGAGAAAGUUACCCCAUAUUUGAAAAAAAUGCUCCCUAGAGUUAUGAGUGUGCAUGUGGACUGAGAGAAGCUUGUGUGUGGUAGUUUGUUACAUUGCAAUCACUCAUGAUUUCUGAGUCAUAGUUCUGUGAUACAGCAAUUGCCAUUUUUUCUAACCUCGUCUCUUCUGCUGCUUCCUUUUGAUUACCAUUUUCCCUAACAGAAGGAGAGAUUUCCAUCAUGGCAUUCAUAGACCAAUACUGAAAUUGUAAGUUUGAUGCCCAUAUACCAUUCUUCUUUCUGUUUCCCUGACUGAUGGAGGUAAGCUGUAUCCCAUUGCCAUGAGGGAACAAUACCCAGGGUGGUGGUUUGCUGAACGUUCUCUCAGCUUGGAAUAACACGAUGCAAACUGCAGGUUUUGUUUAUGUCUAUAAGGGUUGGAUGGAUGCUCACUCAACCACUGGAGGAUCCCGUCCUUCAAGGAGGGUUGUAGUUGAAAGAUGUCUUUAUGAUCAGGCAAACUGAUUCAGUUUCUAAAAACCAGGCAAGCCCUCUCUGGUUCAGACUGUGGAAAACAUCAGUGAGAAUGUCCAGUUCUUGCUUAUGUCUUGUGUUUAUAUAAUUUAUUCUGGUAAGGAAGAUGUUGGGUUUGAAUACAGGUGUGCUCAGGGUGGCUGAGCGUUCGCUCUCUGUGCUGUCAGUGAUGAGCUGUUGGAUGAGAAGUCAGCAGGGACUGUCACAUUUGGCUCAAAGUUUAUUAUUAGUGGACUGUGAUGAGGGUACAGUUUCCAUUACACAAGGGGAAAAAUCAGAAAAGAACAUUUUAUAGUCCAAAGUGUGGGAAAAGGAAACUCCUAAACAUUCCAGAGAGGGGAAACCAGUGGCUCUUUGCUUUACAGCAAGACAGAGGUGACACCUUCUAGAAUGUUGUGUAGGCUUUGCCUGGGACAGGCUCAACUCCCUGGCUUCCUGACAGUGCUCUGUCAGAGCAGAAGAAUGGUUCUAAUAUCCCAAAUGUUUAAAAAUAUAGUUAAGAAUACACUUUACGAGCACCUGAAGUUAAUCUGAGGGAGCAGGUUAUAUCUAAAUGGACUUUUUUCUUAAAAACCAGUGUCUGAUGAAAGACUUGCAGUCUCUCUUUUGUUCAUAUGCUGGCAAAAGAUAUUUCAGCCAGAUAGUUCACAAAGAGAUUCAGUUACUUAACAUGAUCUUACUUGUAUAGAACUUCUUGUUCUUUGACCCAACUAACUCAAUCCAGGAGGGCUUUAGAAGGAGAGAAAUAAGGUGUUUCUAAUUAAAAAUUUGAAAAAAAAUUUGCAAGAAAAAAUCCAAAACUGGCAGGAAAACAUCAAUUGUAGAAUUAUUUAAUUUAAAAAGUUUCCUAAUCCUCCCCAUGUUUUAACAUGAAAGGUGGAUCUGUGGCCAACUUUGUUAAGUGCAAUCACUUGGCUACUGGCCCACACACAUGGGAAGCAAGUCAUCUUGUGUCCUACCUCCUCACUGCACUGCUAAUGUGCUGCAGCGUGGCAGGAGGAGACAGAUGGACGUGAGCAAGAACUCUGCAAAACUGGCAGAGUCAGCAGUUGAUUGGAUGCCAUUUUUACAGCUGUUGGAUGUUUGUAUUGGGAAAGAAAAACCAAUUUGUGAUUUCAAGACAAGGAUAAUUCCAGUCCUUCCAGUGCCUCAAUAGAGGAGUGAUCGGGAGUCACAAACUUUGAGAUUUUGAAAGUUGUGUGCACGCUUAAGGUGACAAAUUAGGAGAGAGGCUUUUCUAUUGCUCAGUCUUCAGGGGAGAAAACAUAUAGGAUAUUUUUAAAGUAGGUUUAGGUCAGGGGAAAACUCACUUGAUCUCGAGUUUCACUGCAAUUUCAAUCAUUCUCUCUGGCAUCUGGUGCCCAUUUAUAAGGUACAAAGUAAGGAAUCAGUUAAAAGCAUGCACAAGCAAAUGUGAAAUUUGUGCUAGAACAACGCACUUGGGGUUUUUAAUACAAUAAUGGACCCCUUCCUUGUUUGUCUGUCUAAUGCUCACUUUGUUCUCUCUAGAUCUCACAAGAUAUUGAAUUUACUGGCUAGAGAAGGGCUGCAGACUAGAGAAAACAGAAAAAUUUGCUGAGAAAGCAGAAGAAGAGUGAGUCUGAUUUGAAGCCAUGUAGUUCUGCAGUAGAUGCCUGUCUGAUCCCAAGAAUGUGGAGCUUCACGUGGUUUGGGAAACCAGACUGUGCAUCAGCAGUAACAAACCAGGCUUGAAGGGCAAGAUAUAAAAUCCUUCUGUGAAAUAAUAACCAGACACAACACUGUGACAUGGAUGUGGUGAAAUUCCAGCAGACACGGAGUGAGGAGAGCUACAUGGCUAUGAACUUACCUGGCCACAUGGUGGGAAUGGUACCAUGGAAAUCCAGGGCUACCCAGGGACCAUGGCGUGUGGAUCCAAGAACUUAAAGGAUGGGGCGUCACUUUCUUGGCAGCCUUCUGCAAUU